GCCAAAAUCAACGACUACACAACUUCUUCUUCAAAAUGGUUGAUACUCGAAAAUCUUCGACGAAAAAUUCUGGCCACCAGUUGCGUUCCGGCCGAACUUCUGGUGAAGCACAAUAAUAUACUCGCAAGCAUCCGGCUAAAUCAAAGACGGUCAAACAAGCAACUCACAAGCUCGAUGCAGAUCCUGGAAACAAAAUUCCAGAUCCAGAAGGUAAAACUUCCUCUGCACCCAAGAAGAAUGCAAGUAGUGCUCCUCAAGUCCCUACUGAAAUCCCUGCUACCAAAAGU